GAUGAACGCUAGCGAUAGGCUUAACACAUGCAAGUCGAGGGGCAGCACAAGGUAGCUUGCUAUCUGGGUGGCGACCGGCGCACGGGUGCGUAACGCGUAUGCAACUUGCCCUAUACAGGAGGAUAACCCGUCGAAAGACGGACUAAUACUGCGUAUGCUCACAACUUGGCAUCAAGUGGUGAGGAAAGAAAUUCGGUAUAGGAUAGGCAUGCGUCCCAUUAGCUUGUUGGUGAGGUAACGGCUCACCAAGGCAACGAUGGGUAGGGGAGCUGAGAGGUUUAUCCCCCACACUGGUACUGAGACACGGACCAGACUCCUACGGGAGGCAGCAGUGAGGAAUAUUGGUCAAUGGGCGCGAGCCUGAACCAGCCAAGUCGCGUGAAGGAUGACUGUCUUAUGGAUUGUAAACUUCUUUUAUACGGGAAUAACAAGAGUCACGUGUGACUCCCUGCAUGUACCGUAUGAAUAAGCAUCGGCUAACUCCGUG
rnacentral:rRNA from 1 species